rnacentral:tmRNA from 3 species
GGGGAUGUAUUGAAUCGACGUGGCGGGCUCUUUACCAUCUGCAAGCCGGUUUGAUGAAACCGUAAAAGCAUCAAAAACACAACUGUCAAAUCAAUUCGACAGACAGCCGGAGACAUUUUGGCAAGCAUCGCUUCCUUCCUUUCUCCAGCUCCAAGCGUCCUCGCUUUUGCGUGAACGUAAGGCAUUCUGUUCUUCUCUCUCACUGAUGGAGGGAACAGGGUGGGAACACAGUCAGUGUGACUGCGAUCGCAUUGGUAGGGCGACCGCGUAAGCCUUUCUACCAGAAGAACGAGAACGGUUUGUUUCUCCACCACUCGUCCUAUUCAAAAAGACACUACGCUUGUAGAAGAUGAUGAUUUGCUCCUGCGGACCGCGGGUCAUUCCCGCGCAUCUCCACAA